UCCUACGGGAGGCAGCAGUGGGGAAUCUUGCACAAUGGAGGAAACUCUGAUGCAGCGAUGCCGCGUGAGUGAAGAAGGCCUUUGGGUUGUAAAGCUCUUUCGUCGGGAAAGAUAAUGACUGUACCCGAAGAAUAAGGUCCGGCUAACUUCGUGCCAGCAGCCGCGGUAAUACGAAGGGACCUAGCGUAAUUCGGAAUUACUGGGCGUAAAGCGCGCGUAGGCGGUUAAGUAAGUUAAUUGUGAAAGCCCAAAGCUCAACUUUGGAAUUGCAAUUAAAACUAUUUAGCUAGAGUUUAUCAGAGGAAAGCGGAAUACAUAGUGUAGAGGUGAAAUUCGUAGAUAUUAUGUAGAACACCAGUUGCGAAGGCGGCUUUCUGGGAUAACACUGACGCUGAGGUGCGAAAGUAUGGGUAGCGAAGAGGAUUAGAUACCCUCGUAGUCCAUACCGUAAACGAUGAUCGUUAGAUGUUGGAAAUUUAUUUUCAGUGUCGCAGCGAAAGCGAUAAACACACCGCCUGGGGAGUACGACCGCAAGGUUAAAACUCAAAUGAAUUGACGGA
rnacentral:rRNA from 1 species